GCAGCUUAGUGGUAGAACAUCUGUUUUGCAUGCAGAAGGUCCCAGGUUCCAAUUUUCCAAUCCUGACAUCUCCA
rnacentral:tRNA from 1 species